UAGUGGUGGCUUAGUGGUUACAGCAUUGGGCUACUGCUUGGAAGGUUGUGAGUUCAAAUCCCAGCGCCGCCAA